rnacentral:tRNA from 1 species
GGUGGCUCAGUGGUAGAGUGCUUGCCUUGUAUGCAUGAGGCACUGGGUUCAAUUUUUCAGCACCA